CACGAUGCCUCCGUGCAAGAGAAUUACCGUCUAGGGGCGGGAGAAACAGAUACUAAAUGAGGAAGCGAACAGAACAUUUGACAAAGGGACGGCCAGAAGUGCUAUCGUGGAGAUGAGUGAAAUAGUGUGAUGGAGAAUAAUGAGGAAGACCAGGGAAGGUCACCUUUAAGGAAAUGCUUGAAAAUGAGGAGUCAGACAUAGAACAAGGAAGCAGGUAUUGAUGCCAGAUAACUCUGUAGUCCUCAUUCUCACACUUUCAUGGGGCAGAAGAACAGCGGAGUGGAAAAAGCAUGGGUUUGAUUCUUGCCUUUGCAUCACAAAAGCUGUGUGACUUUGGCCCUGUGAGUAUUAUUGUCCCUACUUUCCAGCUCUGGAAACUGAGGCGUAGGAAGAGAAGGCAACUUGCCCAAAGUCACAGCCGAGGCUCCUCCCCUAUGAAUGCCAGACACUCACUCCCCAGCCUCCGCUGCAGCUAAGGCAUGCACAUAUGAGCUCCUUCUGGCCAGCGAGACAUAAGGGAAAGCCUUCAAAGGACUUCUAAGAAGGAUUUUCCUUGAAGAUUAAGAUCAUCACAGAGAGGUCACCCGAUGGCUGCCAGAAACCACGGGUCGCCGUUGUGCGUCAGUCCUCCAAAGUCAACCUUGUCAUCCCACAGAUGCUGUCAGAGGCCACGUCUGAAUGCCAUGCCAAAACAACGAGCCCAGAAGGAACAUUUGGUCAAUCUGGUUUGUCAGAAAGCCAAAAAAUAAGACAUUUGUUCGAUUGAAUUCAUGCAAGAGUCGGUUUGUUUUAUUUUUAGCUGAAUUUAGUCUUGUUGGCAAGCGUAUCUAGGCAGAGGUCUUGUCUCCUAGGGUUACAAGAGCCCACGUAGUCAACAGCCACCACAACAAAAAUGUGUCCGCUUCCCCCCCACACCCCGAUCUUCGUCUUAUCUCCAU